CCACGGUCUAGACAGGUUUUGUAUCAGGCCCUAUUUAAAAUUAGGCCUGAACUUCAGGUUAAGUUAGCAUGUUCUCAUAGGUUGAUAUAUAAUUAACUAAGAUUUCCGAAUUAUACGCCACGCCUCCAAAAAUCUUCUUAUGCUAGGAGCGGUCAUCUCAUUGGACGAUUCUAAAUGUAAUUGACGUUUGAGCAAGAAUACUGGCAAAGGAUUGGAUAACUUUGAUCUCUGACGUCACUUUCCUG